AGAGCGAACGCUGGCGGCAGGCCUAACACAUGCAAGUCGAACGGACUCUUCGGAGUUAGUGGCGGACGGGUGAGUAACACGUGGGAACGUGCCUUUAGGUUCGGAAUAAGCUCGGGAAACUGGGUCUAAUACCGAAUGUGCCCUUCGGGGGAAAGAUUUAUCGCCUUUAGAGCGGCCCGCGUCUGAUUAGCUAGUUGGUGGUGUAAUGGACCACCUAGGCGACGAUCAGUAGCUGGUCUGAGAGGAUGACCAGCCACAUUGGGACUGAGACACGGCCCAAACUCCUACGGGAGCAGCAGUGGGGAAUCUUGCGCAAUGGGCGAAAGCCUGACGCAGCCAUGCCGCGUGUAUGAUGAAGGUCUUAGGAUUGUAAAUACUUUCACCGGUGAAGAUAAUGACUGUAGCCGGAAGAAGAACGCCCGACUAACUCGCGCCAGCAGCCGC
rnacentral:rRNA from 1 species